GGGGCUGGUUGGGGGUGGGGGCUAGGGGAGAGAUAACAUUAGGAGAAAUACCUAAUGUAGAUGACGGGUUGAUGAGUACAGCAAACCGCCAGGGCACAUGUACACCUAUGUAACAAGCCUGCACAUUCUGCACAUGUAUCUCAGAACUUAAAGUACAAUAA